rnacentral:rRNA from 1 species
AUACGGAGGGUGCAAGCGUUACUCGGAAUCACUGGGCGUAAAGCGCGCGCAGGCGGGCUGAUAAGUUGGAUGUGAAAGCCUACGGCUCAACCGUAGAACUGCAUCCAAAACUGUCAGUCUAGAGUGUGGGAGAGGAAGAUGGAAUUAGUUGUGUAGGGGUAAAAUCCGUAGAGAUAACUAGGAAUACCAAAAGCGAAGGCAAUCUUCUGGAACACUACUGACGCUGAGGCGCGAAGGCGUGGUGAGCAAACAGGAUUAGAAACCCGGGUAGUCC